rnacentral:tRNA from 1 species
AAAAUUUUAGUUUAUAUUUUAAAAUAUUUCAUUUACACUGAAUUGAUUCUACAUUAUUAUAGAAAGUUUUA